UAAGUUUAGAAUUUUUGACACAACAGUAUUAUCUCUAACCAUAUAGAUGACAUUUACUUUAGCUAAUAUAUGAUCUAGAAGUGUUAAAACAAUGCCAUAUUUGCAAUAGUUGUAUGCAUGCAGAUAACAGUCUGAUGUACACAUUCACUUAUUUUCUUUUAGAAAUUACUGCUUAUAUCUGAUUUUUGCAUAACUUCCAAGCACAGUUAUUUAUUAUUAUACAAAGACGUUUAAGAUCAUAAAAUCAUAGCAUUUGGAAGUUAAAUUAUUUGUUUGAUGACCUAGGGUGUAGGCAAUUUUCUCUGCUUUUUGCCCCUGGGGCCUCAAAUUUCCUAAAUAAGUCUGCUGUUUCUAGCAAUAUGGAAUAUUUAGUACAUAUUCAGGAUAGGGCACACUAUUGUAAGUUUAAUUGAGAUAUUAUAGUGUUUCUAGCUUGGAUUGUUUAUGUCGUGGUGACAAAAAAGCAGAUUUAGGUGUUACGGUUUACUUUUGGGUUAUCGACUGGACAAAAACACCCCACCAAUAAUUUUGAAGAAGGAUCUAUGAAUUUCAAUGAUAGCGAAGAGUAAAUAUGAGUCCGUUGCUGUGUGUGUUACAUUUUAAUGUUGUGUCGUUGUUCUCCUCUAAUAUUUAAUGCGUUUCCCUCAGUUUUAGUUUGUUACCCCGAUUUUGUUUUUGUCCAUAGAAUUAUGAGUUUUGAACAGCGGUAUACUACUGUUGCCUUUAAAUAUAAGCACUUCUUAACAAUUUAACUUACAAAUAUGCAUGUAUUAUGAUUUUUUUUGGCAUUCAGGGCUUUAAGUAAACUAUGUAUACUGUACACUGUGAAUUGAUGCUGUAGUUAUCAUAGUCAAGGCCAAGGAUUUUCUCAAUCUUCAUGAAAUAUUUAUAAAACUUUAUAUUUUAGUCAAUUUCAUUAAAAUCUGUGAGACAAACCAAAUGUGGUUAAAUUCUGUAUGUUCUCUUUUUUCCCCCCAAUAUAGGUUGCAUUUCUGUAAAUACUGACAAUGCAAUUUCCCAUAGGAACUCUUUUAUGGAUAAAACUGUACCACUUUUUUUAUGAAGUUUUGAAAAAAUCCUAUCCUAGAAUGGAAAGUUCAUAUGCACUUCUAUUUUUUCAAAGGUAAAAAAAUAGGGCUGUGCGGCAUAUUUUUAAUGUGUAUAUGCCCCGAACUUUUAAGAGUUUAAACUAACACUAAUUUUUCUUAACUACCCCUACCUUAUCUGUAGGAUUACCACAUAUUUCAAUAUAAACAAGCAUUCUGAGAGUAUUGCAUGGCAAUACAUAGUCCCCUACCGGUUAAGAAUUCAUUUUACUGGAACAAAAUGCUAACUUGAUCUAUAUCUUGUCAUGGUGUAAACAAUUUAACAAAUAUAAAGUCAAUAUAUUCAAGCAUGACGAAAAAAAGUGUGAAAAACUGAUUAUCACAAGGACCAUAACUCUGCACAAAAUCAUCAGACCCGAACAAAAUUCGAACUUG
rnacentral:lncRNA from 1 species